GACGAACGCUGGCGGCGUGCUUAACACAUGCAAGUCGAACGGGCCCGCCCCUGUUUUUGGGGGUGGGUUGAGUGGCGAACGGGUGAGUAUCACGUGAGUAACCUGCCCCCUGCUCCUGGAUAACUGCUUGAAAGGGCGGCUAAUACGGGGUGUGCCGGCUGGUCCGCAUGGGCCUGGUCGGGAUAGUUUCAUCUUCGGGUGUUUCGGUGGGGGAUGGGCUCGCGGCCUAUCAGCUUGUUGGUGGGGUGAUGGCCCACCAAGGCGGUGACGGGUAGCCGGCCUGAGAGGGUGGGCGGCCACACUGGGACGGAGACACGGCCCAGACUCCUGCGGGAGGCAGCAGUGGGGGGUAUUGCACAAUGGGCGGAAGCCUGAUGCAGCGACGUCGCGUGAGGGAUGGAGGCCUUCGGGUUGUGAACCUCUUUCUCCGGGGGGGAAGGCCCUGUCCGGUGCGGCGGGGUUGACGGUAGCCGGGGAUGAAGCGCCGGCUAACUACGUG
rnacentral:rRNA from 1 species